AUUUUAGUAAACACGAGUCAUAUUUAGCCCGUUAUUCCAUUCUGACCGUAUGGUAACGAAACGUAGCCUAUUUCAUUGUUCCGACAGCAUUAGAGCAAAACUAAUGACUUAAUUAUAAACGCAAAGGAAAUUUCCAUAACAUUUCCUAUUUACAAAUGCGGUAUGCUUGGUAACCAGGCCAGGGACCACUUUUUCGAAAUCAGGGACCAUUUUACCGAAAUCUGCUAGGCUCUCUCGCUGAAGCGUAUCGCACAGCACACCCAGGCAUAAAACUUUUAAGACUUAUUUAAAUAUAUCAAAG